rnacentral:tRNA from 1 species
GGCUUCAUAGCUCAGUUGGUAGAGCAACGAACUAGUAACGCGGAGGUCAUGGGUUCAAAUCCCGUUGAAGCCA